rnacentral:tRNA from 1 species
AAGACUUUAGUAAAAUAGUAUUACACCACCUUGUCAGGGUGAAAUUAUGAGUUUAAAUCCCAUAAGUCUUA